rnacentral:rRNA from 1 species
GAUGAAUGCUGGCGGCGUGCCUAACACAUGCAAGUCGAGCGGCAGCGCGGGGUGCUUGCACCCUGGCGGCUAGCGGCGAACGGCUGAGUAACACGUAGGUAUUCUACCUAAAGUACGGAGUAACUUUCCGAAAGGGUAGCUAAUGCCGCAUAUGGUCUUCGGAUUACAGGAUUUAUCCGCGUUUGGAGAAGUCUGAGUGGGAUUAGGUUGUUUGUAGGCUUAUGUCCUACCAAGGCGACGAACCAUAGCUGGUCGGAGAGGAUGCUCCGCCAGACUGGAACUGAGACACGGUCCAGACUCCUACGGGAGGCAGCAGUGAGGAAUCUACCACAAUGGGCGAAAGCCUGAUGGACCAACGCCGCGUGAAGGAUGAAGGCCUUCGGGUUGUAAACUUCUUGUAUGAGUGCAGAAUAUGACGGUACCUAAUGAAUAAGCCACGGCUAACUACGUG